GACUGCCUCGGGAUACGGGGAGGAAGGCGGGGAUGACGUCAAAUCAGCGUGAUCCUUUGAUGCCCUGGGCUACACACAUGCUACAAUGGCCGGUACAAUGGGUUGCCAAGCCGUAAGGCGGAGCCAAUCCCAUCAAAACCGGUCUCAGUUCGGAUUGAGGGCUGAAACUCGCCCUCAUGAAGUAGGAAUCGCUAGUAAUCGCGGAUCAGCUAUGCCGCGGUGAAUACGUUCCCGAGCUUUGUACUCACCGCCCGUCAAGCCAGGGGAGCCGGUAGUUCUGGAAACGCCACUUCGGUGGUGUUAAAGAAAGAUCGGUAACAAGGGCUAAGUCGUAACAAGGCAUCCGUAGCGGAAGCUGUGGAUGGAUCACCUCCUUUCU
rnacentral:rRNA from 1 species